rnacentral:misc_RNA from 1 species
GAUGAAGAACGCAGUGAAAUGCGAUAAUUAAUGUGAAUUGCAGAAUUCAGUGAAUCAUCGAGUCUUUGAACGCACAUUGCGCCCCCUGGUAUUCCGGGGGGCAUGCCUGUCCGAGCGUCAUUGCUGCCCUCAAGCACGGCUUGUGUGUUGGGCCCCCGUCCCCCCCUCCCGGGGGACGGGCCCGAAAGGCAGCGGCGGCACCGCGUCCGGUCCUCGAGCGUAUGGGGCUUUGUCACCCGCUCUGUAGGCCCGGCCGGCGCCUGCCGACCACCAUCAAUCUUUUUUCAGGUUGACCUCGGAUCAGGUAGGGAUACCCGCUGAACUUAAGCAUAUCAAUAAGCGGAGGA